GUACCGUGAGGGAAAGGUGAAAAGAACCCUGAACAAGGGAGUGAAAUAGAUCCUGAAACCAUACGCUUACAAGCGGUCGGAGCCCUUAUGGGUGACGGCGUGCCUUUUGCAUAAUGAGCCUACGAGUUACCGUUACCAGCAAGGUUAAGCACUUCAGGUGUGGAGCCGUAGCGAAAGCGAGUCUGAAUAGGGCGAUUCAGUCGCGUGUCCUAGACCCGAAGCGAAGUGAUCUAUCCAUGGCCAGGUUGAAGCGACGGUAAGACGUCGUGGAGGACCGAACCCACUUAGGUUGAAAACUGAGGGGAUGAGCUGUGGAUAGGGGUGAAAGGCCAAUCAAACUUGGAGAUAUCUUGUUCUCUCCGAAAUAACUUUAGGGUUAGCCUCGACUUUAAGACUCAUGGGGGUAGAGCACUGAAUUCCCGCGGGGGCCUACCGGCCUACCAACGGAAAUCAAACUCCGAAUACUAUGAGUUAAGUCGGGAGAUAGACAGUGGGGGAUAAGCUUCAUUGUCGAAAGGGGAACAGCCCAGAUCGCCGAUUAAGGCCCCUAAUUCUAUGCUAAGUGAGUAAGGAUGUGAAGUUUCAUAGACAGUUGGAAUGUUGGCUUAGAGGCAGCCACCAUUUAAAGAGUGCGUAACAGCUCACCAAUCGAGAGACUUUGCGCCGAUAAUGAUCGGGACUAAGCAUAGAGCCGAAAUCGCGGGUGUGCCACUUUGUGGUACGCGGUAGGAGAGCGUUGUAUGUGCAUUGAAGGUGUACCGUAAGGAGCACUGGAGCGCAUACAAGUGAGGAUGCAUGGCAUAAGUACACGAUAAAGGGAGUGAGAAUCUCCCUCGCCGAAAACCUAAGGUUUCCAGGGUAAAGCUCGUCUUCCCUGGGUUAGCCGGUCCCUAAGCUGAGGCUGAAAAGCGUAAGCGAUGGAAAGCAGGUUAAAUAUUCCUGCGCCACCUAAAACUAUAACAAUGGGGUGACGGAGUAAGUUAAGCACGCGGGCUAUUGGAUGUCCGUUCUUGUAUGAGGUGGGUCAGUAGGUAAAUCCGCUGACAUAAAGCCAGGUAUGAGACAAGGGGAAUCUUCGGAGGAACCGAUGGUGUGGCACGAUGCUUCCAAGAAAUAACCUCUAGUUGUUGAUGGUGACCGUACCAAAACCGACACAGGUAGGUGGGAUGAAUAUUCUCAGGCGCGCGAGAGAACUCUCGUUAAGGAACUCGGCAAAUUGUCCUCGUAACUUCGGAAUAAGAGGAGCCCUUGGGCGUGAUACCUUCGCGGUUAAGCGCUCGGGGGCCGCAGUGAAUAGGCCCAGGCGACUGUUUAACAAAAACACAGCACUAUGCAAACUCGUCUAAGAGGAAGUAUAUGGUGUGAUGCCUGCCCAAUGCCAAAAGGUCAAAAGGAGAUGUUAGCACUUCGGUGCGAAGCUUUGAAUUUAAGCCCUGGUGAAUGGCGGCCGUAACAAUAACGGUCCUAAGGUAGCGAA
rnacentral:rRNA from 1 species